GCCCGGGUGGCGAAAUAGGUAGACGCAAGGGACUUAAAAUCCCUCGGGGGGAGACUCCCGUGCCGGUUCGAGUCCGGCCCCGGGCACCA
rnacentral:tRNA from 1 species